AGGACGAACGCUGGCGGCGUGCUUAACACAUGCAAGUCGAGCGGUAAGGCCUUUCGGGGUACACGAGCGGCGAACGGGUGAGUAACACGUGAGUAACCUGCCCUUGACUCUGGGAUAAGCACUGGAAACGGUGUCUAAUACCGGAUAUGACCUUCAGCCGCAUGGCUAGGGGGUGGAAAGAUUUUUUGGCAAGGAUGGACUCGCGGCCUAUCAGGUAGUUGGUGAGGUAAUGGCUCACCAAGCCGACGACGGGUAGCCGGCCUGACGAGGGUGACCGGCCACGACUGGGACUGAGACACGGCCAGACUCCGUACGGGAGCAGCAGGUGGGAAUAUGCACGAAGUGGGACAAAGCCUAGGAUGCAAGCAACGCCGCGUGGAGGACGAAGGCCGUUACGGGUUACGUAAACCGUUCGUUUAAGGUAACGG
rnacentral:rRNA from 1 species